CCUAAACACCAGAGGUCAAUGAUUUAAUCAAUUAUGGCUACAUAAUGAAGCUUCCAUAGAAAAAAACAAAAGUAUGGAGUUCAGAGAGCUUCUGGGUUGAGAAAUGCAAAUCAAAACCACAAUGAGACAUUGCCUCACACCUGUUGGAAUGGCUAUUAUGAAAAACAUAAAAGGCACAAGGAAAAUCUACAUUUCCUAUAUCCCCGUGCAUCCAGAUGGGACUGUGUAACUCAGUUCUGGCUGAUGGUAUUGGCCAAAAGCGAAGUACAUGACUUCAGUACUGCCCAUAAAACAUCCUUUACAAUAUGCCACCAUAUUCCUCCUUCAUUCCCAUGGCUAAAAAGUGGUCGAGCUGUACAACAGAGGAAGCGUAGAUAAAUGAAUUUACUGCCUGGAGGAG